rnacentral:tRNA from 1 species
GCGUGGCUCAGCGGUAGAGCAUUUGCUUGGCACGCAGAAGGCUUAAGGUUCGAUCCUUGGCAACUGCA